UUUGACCUCGGAUCAGGUAGGGAUACCCGCUGAACUUAAGCAUAUCAAUAAGCGGAGGAAAAGAAACCAACAGGGAUUGCCUCA
rnacentral:rRNA from 3 species